CUACUCUUUUGCAACAAU
rnacentral:snRNA from 1 species